CUUCAUUUCUCCUUCUCUCUAAAACUCUCAUGCCCUAAACUCUCUCUGCCUUCUCUCUAGAUGUCCAGCUCAAAGAACCGUAGGAAUUUGAUUUUUGUGUUGCCCAAGCAUCCGCAACGUAGAGAGCUCCAUUUCCACCGAUUGUUUUCUUCAUUCCGAUUGGUCCUGUUGAACUUGUUUCUGUGCGAGAGUUACUGUUUUGGGGCUUCUUCUAAAGUGUUGUGCUUAUAACCACCAAGGUAUGUUUGAUGGACGUAAUUCCAUGGACCUCACAGGGGGGUUACAUGGUGGUGCCCUAUGUUAUGGACGUAAUUCCAUGGACCUCAAAGGGAUGUUACAUGGUGGUGCCCUAUGUCAUUGAACGUAAUUCCAUGAUCCUCAAGGAGAGGAUACAUGGUGGUGCUCUGGUGGUGUGUAGAAUGAUUGCAUGGUAGCUCAUUCUUGGGGGUUUUCCUGACGCUCCAAUGGCCUUUCAUUCUCAAGUAGAGAGGAUUUAUCCAUGUGGUGAGGAGUAGCAGGAGGUCCUAGUCUUGGAGGCUUCCAGUAUGUUCCAGGGCGCGGAACGGACUAACCUCGUGAGUGUGGUAGGGUGGAACCCAUUGACAACGGCUUUGCAAAGCAGUAGAGGCCACCACGAGUGCAUAACCCGCCAUAGCUCGGUAAUCAUUCUAGUCCGGACGAGUCGGUUUAUAAAGUAACAAGUCUUGUGAUGUCAUUUUAUCAUGUUUCGAGUGACUUUUGCAUGUCGUGUGAGGUUGAAUAACAUGCUUUUUAUAUCUAGCUCACCCUUGCUUGUUUGUGUUGCUUGUGUAUGUUUCUUUUG
rnacentral:sRNA from 1 species